rnacentral:snoRNA from 1 species
CCUGCCCCUAGAUGCAUUGGCGGUUUGACUGCUGUAUCACAUGUGUCCAUAGGUAGCAUGGAGAAAUGCUAUGUAUAGACUCGGGGUUAUGACCUAUGGACAUCUGGUUAAUAACCUAGUAUU